rnacentral:lncRNA from 1 species
AAAAAGUGUUGUUAAAAGAACAUUCUCCAUUCUUUUGCAUUAGGUUUCCUACUCUAUUCCAAAAGGAAGAAAAACCAUAAUACGACCCACAGUGGGACCUAUAAGGUACUCUCCAUUUACCCACUAAAACUCUCAAACUCUCCCUUUCGUAAACGGAGCAAGCAACGUAACAACCCUCUCAUGCAUAGCCCCCACGAGUUUGUUCAUUUUCUUUUAGAACCGAUCUCUCAUCAACACUUUUUUCGUUGCAUCAUCUUUUCUCCUCCCUUCAUUAACACUUAAUACCCAUUACUCACCAUUUCAUUCUCGGCUUCUUUUCUCUCUUUACCAACCCGAGACACUUCUUCCUCUGCCCUAUUCUCUUUCGCCUCCCUUUCCUUCACACGCUACUAUCCUAGGUUAUAGAAGUCUUCCCUUCAGCUCAUGCUCUUCCAAUUCUAUAUUUCUUACUCAUCAACCACCACCAAUGAC